rnacentral:misc_RNA from 1 species
UCUCAAUAAUUAAAGUGUUAGAACGACGUCAAAUUUUUUUGGAUAAAGGUAACAUGUCAGCCGCCCUAUUAGCUACGCAGUCUACGCUCGCUAACUAAACGUUGCAGAAGCCAUGUCUAUCGUCUCCUUCUUCAUCUUCUUCCUCUUCGGGGGAAUCAUCCGUUCAAUAGCUGGAAAGUCUCACAUCAUCCAUUUCCGGUCCCCUAAUCUCUAUC